GUUUCUUUUGGAAGUCUUUGAUGGCUUCCUCUGAGUGCGGCUAUAUUGUCUUGCUGUGACAGAGUGAUUUGCAGCUGGGUCGCGCUCGGCAUCAGGAAACCUGGAACAGCGUUCGCCAGCAUUUAUGAGUGGGUCUCUGAUGGAUUUCCCCACGCUGUUGCUAGGAGAUGAAGAUACUGCCUAACAAAGGAUAUAUUGACAACAAAAAAAUUUUCCAGAGCAAAUCUAUCUCGUUAUGGAGAAAGAAAAAGGAGCCAAGGAGAACGUCGUCCCCUUCAUUUCCCUACAUGCAUGGUUGGGACCGACAACUUGAACUUGUGCCAGCACUACUGCAUCCCUUCCUCCAAAGCCACACGUUGGGCUGGUGGCAUCUCCUGCCUGCAUCAGCUGGCCCAGGUGGCCACCAAGAGCUUAGAUCAGAGCAGCAGGUGCGAUGA
rnacentral:lncRNA from 1 species